rnacentral:rRNA from 1 species
UCCAGCUGAUCCUGCUGGCGGACACUGCUAUCGAAGUUCGACUCAGCCAUGCAAGUCUUAUCGGCCACCUUGGUCGAUGGCACACGGCUCAGUAACACGUCGUCAACCUACCCUUGAGACGGGUAAAGCCCGGGAAACUGGGCAUAAUGCCCGAUAGGCUAUCGCUACUGGAAUGUGCUUUAGCCCAAACGAAAAGCAAAUCGGAGCGUAUCGCUUGAGGAUGGGACGGCGGCAGAUUAGGUUGUUGGCGGGGUAAUGGCCCACCAAGCCUACGAUCUGUACGGGCCUUGAGAGAGGGAGCCCGGAGAAGGGUACUGAGACAAGGACCCUAGCCCUACGGGGUGCAGCAGGCGCGAAACCUUUACAAUGCGCGGAAGCGUGAUAAGGGGACUUCGAGUGAUUCCUUUGGAAUCUUUUGCCAACUUUAGACCGGUUGGCGAAUAAGUGGGGGGCAAUAUACGUGCCAGCCGCCGCGGUAACACGUAAUCCACGAGUGGUGUCCACUCAUAUUGGGCCUAAAGCGUUCGUAGCCGGCCCAGUAAGUCUUCGGUGAAAUCUGACCGCUUAACGGUUAGAAUGGCUGGAGAUACUGCUGGGCUCGAAGCCGGUAGACGUCAAGGGAAUUUCCGGGGUAGCGGUGAAAUGCCGUGAUCCCGGGAGGACCACCCGUAGCGAAGGCGCUUGACGAGGACGGACCUGACGGUGAGGAACGAAAGCUGGGGGAGCGACCCGGAUUAGAUACCCGGUUAGUCCCAGCCGUAAACGAUGUGGACUAGGUGUACUAAUACUCACGUAGUAUGGGUGUGCCGAAGCGAAGGCAUUAAGUCCACCGCCUGGGAAGUACGCUCGCAAGGGUGAAACUUAAUGGAAUUGGCGGGGGCGCACUACAAGGGGUGGAUGCUGCGGUUUAAUUGGACUCAACGCCAGACAACUCACCAGGGGCGACAGCAGAGUGAUGGACAAUCCGAAGGGUUUUCCUGACACGCUGAGAGGUGUUGUAUGGUCAUCGUCAGCUCGUACUAUGAAGCGUCCUGUCAACUCAGGUAACGGGCGAGACCCACGGUGUUAGUUGCGACCUUCCUUUUUUAGGGGGGGCACUCUAGCCACUGCCAAGGCAACUUGGAGGAAGGAGUGGUUGACGGUAGAUCUGUAUGGCCCGAAUCUCCUGGGCGACACGCGGCAUACAUUGGUCAAGACAAUGGGUUGCUAUCCCGAAAGGGUUCGCUAAUCCCUUAACCUUGACCCAGGUUCGGAUUGAGGACUGGAACUCGUCCUCAUGAAGCUGGAAUCCCCAGUAAUCGGGUGUCAUUAUCGCCCGGUGAAUACGUCCCUGCGCCUUGCACACACCGCCCAUCAAGCCAGCUGAGUGGGGUAUAGGUGAGCGGCCAAACACUAAGGUUGGUCUCGAUCCUCUGCUCCGCGAGGGGGGCUAAGUUGUAACAAGGUG